AUGGAAGAAGACCAGGUUAAAUUAGCAGCACUCAUCACGGAGCUAGAGGAGCCAGUAGGUCUUUGUGACUUGCCAGCAAUUGACCCUCCUAAUACUAAGAGAAAGAAGGGAAGGGCAAUAAAGAAUUUUUCUGAGUGGAUAGAGAAAGAGCCUCCAAUGAAUUGGUCUUUGCUGCAUGACACACAUGGAGCUAGGUAUGGCCACAUGACAACCAAUCUUGCAGAGGUGUAUAACUUUGUGCUGAGAGGGAAUAGAGCAUUGCCACUCACAGCAAUUGUGGAGGCUGUAUUCCAUGGCACUUUGAGAUAUUUUAGAGAAAGGCACGAGUUAGCAAAGAAGCAUAUUGAAGAUAAUCAGAACACACCUUAUUGUAGCCGUGUCAUGGAAUACAUGGCAAAGAAGAUAGAGAAAGCAAAGAAGCACACUGUCAGACUCAUAGGGAAUCAAGAAAGGAGGUAUGAGGUUCAGCUUCCUACCGAUGGUUUUGGUUCUGGAAAUGAGGUGAAGACACACGAGGUAAAAAUUGGAACGGAAUUUUAUCCAACGUGUGAGUGUACAUGCAACAAACCGAAGUUGUUGCACCUACCUUGCUCUCAUGUGUUGGCUGCCUGUGGCCAGAUUGAGUUGGAUGCUAUAUCCUUCGUGUCCCCAUACUAUUUAAAAGAGGCAGUGCUCAACACCUGGACAGGCGAGAUGACAGGGUUUAGAGUCGUCGGCAAUUUCAACAAGGUAAACGACGGUGAGAGAGUAUACAUCCCGCAUCCAGACCUUCGGCGAACAAGUAGGGGCAGACGAAAGGCCCGUCGCAUCCGGAACGAUAUGGACCAGUCUGAAGCUGGUGGAGCAACCAGACAAUGUUUGUUAUGCGCGGCUUAUGGGCAUAGGAUGAAAUAU
rnacentral:rRNA from 1 species